GUGGGUAUUAGCUCAGUGGUAGAGCACAUGCCUAGCAUGCACAAGAUCCUGGGUUCAAUCCCCAGUACCUCCA
rnacentral:tRNA from 1 species